rnacentral:rRNA from 1 species
UACUCGGUUAUGAGACCGGCAAACGGGUGCGGAACACGUACGCAACCUUCCCAAAACUGGUGAAUAGCCCUCCGAAAGGGAGGAUUAAUACACCGUAACUUAAUGAAGUGGCAUCACUUUAUUAAUAUAGCUCCGGCGGUUUUGGAUGGGCGUGCGCCUGAUUAGGUAGUUGGCGGGGUAACGGCCCACCAAGCCUACGAUCAGUAACUGGUGUGAGAGCACGACCAGUCACACGGGCACUGAGACACGGGCCCGACUCCUACGGGAGGCAGCAGUAAGGAAUAUUGGUCAAUGGACGCAAGUCUGAACCAGCCAUGCCGCGUGAAGGAUGACGGCCCUCUGGGUUGUAAACUUCUUUUAUCUGGGACGAAAAAAGAUCAUUCUUGAUCACUUGACGGUACCAGAGGAAUAAGCACCGGCUAACUCCGUGCCAGCAGCCGCGGUAAUACGGAGGGUGCAAGCGUUAUCCGGAUUUACUGGGUUUAAAGGGUGCGUAGGUGGGUCUGUAAGUCAGUGGUGAAAUCUUCGAGCUUAACUCGGAAACUGCCAUUGAUACUAUAGGUCUUGAAUAUCCUGGAGGUGAGCGGAAUAUGUCAUGUAGCGGU